rnacentral:rRNA from 1 species
UACAGAGGUCUCAAGCGUUGUUCGGAUUCAUUGGGCGUAAAGGGUGCGUAGGUGGCGCCGUAAGUGGGGUGUGAAAUCUCGGGGCUUAACUCCGAAACUGCAUUCCAUACUGCGGUGCUCGAGGACUGGAGAGGAGACUGGAAUUCAUGGUGUAGCAGUGAAAUGCGUAGAGAUCAUGAGGAAGACCAGUGGCGAAGGCGGAUCUCUGGACAGUUCCUGACACUGAGGCACGAAGGCCAGGGAGCAAACGGG